UACGAAGGGGGCUAGCGUUGCUCGGAAUCACUGGGCGUAAAGGGUGCGUAGGCGGGUUUUUAAGUCAGAGGUGAAAUCCUGGAGCUCAACUCCAGAACUGCCUUUGAUACUGAAAGUCUUGAGUACGGGAGAGGUGAGCGGAACUGCGAGUGUAGAGGUGAAAUUCGUAGAUAUUCGCAAGAACACCAGUGGCGAAGGCGGCUCACUGGCCCGUAACUGACGCUGAGGCACGAAAGCGUGGGGAGCAAACAGG
rnacentral:rRNA from 1 species